AGUGAACGCUGGCGGUAGGCCUAACACAUGCAAGUCGAACGGCAGCACAGUAAGAGCUUGCUCUUACGGGUGGCGAGUGGCGGACGGGUGAGGAAUACAUCGGAAUCUACUUUUUCGUGGGGGAUAACGUAGGUCAACUUACGCUAAUACCGCAUACGACCUACGGGUGAAAGCAGGGGAUCUUCGGACCUUGCGCUAUUGAAUGAGCCGAUGUCGGAUUAGCUAGUUGGCGGGGUAAAGGCCCACCAAGGCGACGAUCCGUAGCUGGUCUGAGAGGAUGAACAGCCACACUAGAGCGGAGGCACGGACCAGACUCCUGCGGGAACGAGCAGAGGGGAAUAUUCGACAAUGGGCGCAAGCCUGGUCCAGCCAUACCGCAUGGGUGAAGAAGGCCUUCGGGUUGUAAAGCCCUUUUGUUGGGAAAGAAAAGCAGCAGGUUAAUACCCCGCUGUUCUGACGGUACCCAAAGAAUAAGCACCGGCUAACUUCGUG
rnacentral:rRNA from 1 species